rnacentral:rRNA from 1 species
GGGUGCAAUCAUACCAGUGUUAAUGCACCGGAUCCCAUCAGAACUCUGCAAUUAAGCGCGCUUCGGCUAGAGUAGUACUGGGAUGGGUGACCUACCAGGAAGUCCUAGUGUUGCACCCU